UACGGGGGGAGCAAGCGUUGUUCGGAUUUACUGGGCGUAAAGGGCGCGUAGGCGGCCACCGCAAGUCGACUGUGAAAUCUCCGGGCUUAACUCGGAACGGUCAAGUGAUACUGUCGAGCUAGAGUACAGAAGGGGCAACUGGAAUUCUCGGUGUAGCGGUGAAAUGCGUAGAUAUCGAGAGGAACACCUGCGGCGAAGGCGGCGUCCUGGACCAAUACUGACACUGAAACGCGAAAGCCAGGGGAGCAAACGGG
rnacentral:rRNA from 1 species